rnacentral:lncRNA from 15 species
GGUCAAUCUGCCCCCCACCACCUAAACCCACUGUAUUAGACUUUAUUUGCUCUGUGUCACUUACAGUACGAUACAGUAUCUAAUAAUAUCUACUAAUAACUACAUUGCAGUGGACAGGAGGGGGGGUUACUGACUUUUCUUUCUUCCAGAGAAAUAAUAAACUGGUCCAUCCUGAAGCUGCUGUGAAGCUGUUAACAUGGCAAGACAGACUUCAGGUCGGAAGAGGAGGUUCCGUGAGGAGGAAGAGGAGGACAGUGUAGACUCAGGAUUCAGCUCUCUGUCUACACAGAGUGACCAGUCCAUAGGGGAACCUCCAUUCUUCAGACUGACUUCAGGCCGGAAGAGGAGGUUUCUUGAGGAGGAAGAGGAGGACAG